UACAGAGGGGGCAAGCGUUGUUCGGAAUUACUGGGCGUAAAGGGCGCGUAGGCGGCCUGUUAAGUCGAACGUGAAAUCCCCGGGCUCAACCCGGGAACUGCGUCCGAGACUGGCAGGCUCGAAUCCGGGAGAGGGAUGCGGAAUUCCAGGUGUAGCGGUGAAAUGCGUAGAUAUCUGGAGGAACACCGGUGGCGAAGGCGGCAUCCUGGACCGGCAUUGACGCUGAGGCGCGAAAGCCAGGGGAGCAAACGGG
rnacentral:rRNA from 1 species